CGUGAUUUUCUCAAUUGUAUGAGUGGUUUGUAAAGUUUCUUCUUUUAAGUGAUUUGUGAAUGAGUGUUUUAAAUUAAUUUUCGUUAGUUUUCUUUGAGUGUCGAUUUUGAUUUUGACAUUCCUUUUGUAAUUUAGAAAGAGAAGGGGGGGGCAAAAUAGGCAUUCCAAAAGAGGACACCAUUGCUCCUCCCAUCCCUUAUAUAAUAGAGAUAAAUACACCCGUGCAUUAUGCACGGGUCCUAAAACUAGUUUGGCAAAACACCAAAACCAAUCUACCUCCCCGUUUCCUUGGUCGGUCAAUACAAGAUUAAACUUAAAAAACCCAAACCAAAACAACUCUCUCCUGAAAAAAUCUUAAAUCGUGAAACCCAAAACCCCAACCCCCAAAACUAAAAACCCGAAACACUUUCUCUCUCUCCUCCGUCGUUGCCUCACCGGUGUUCAUGAAGCUCGUCGGAGCUAUUUGUUCCCCUUGGUGCGGUACUGCUGCUGCGCUAGUCCCUUGUCGUGUAUUCUCGCCUCCUCGUCGCGGUAGUGUGUGCGGUGCUGCUCGUGUCGCUGCUUGUUCUCCGCUCCUUUUCUCCUCUUUUUGGUAGUGGUGGUCGUUAUGGUGGUGUGCCGCUGCUAUUUUCUGUCUCCGAUUUCGGUGGUGGCGUGGGCUGAAAGAUCACCCUUGUUCUGUUUUUCCCCUGUUCUUCGCUGCUCCUACUAGAGCAGAGGUAAAUUUACCUCUUUGUUUUUAUUUCAGAGCCUUUUUAUUCAUAAUUCAAUCCCAAGUUGUUGUGGUUUGUUGUUGUCGUCGCUGCGUUGUUGUUAUUGUUGCUGUAGCUAUUUCUUGUUGUGGAGGUUGUUGUUUGGCUUUUGAUAAUUGUCUUGCAAUAUGAUUUCUUCAUUGUUUUGCGAAAAGUUCAUCUAUUUCAAUUUGAAAUCAAAUUUAAGUAAGUUAGAAACAUUAUUUGUAUUUGUCUUUGAUUAGAUUUGUUUCAAGAAACUUAGUUGUUGUGGAGUUGUUGCUCUGUCUUUCUGUUUUCUUAUGGAUGUUCUUAUUAGUUUAAGUAAGUUGUUAGCUAACUUUGGUUUGUUUAUUUCAAUAAUUUAGAAUUAUGACUUGUAUUGGGAAGUUUAGAAUUGGCUAUUGAUUGUGGUAAUUGGAUUGAGUUAUAGGAUUGAGUCUUAGUUUUAGUUAGGUUUAUGUUUCUAAGAGGUAGAAUCGGUUUAAAGAAUUUAAGAUUUAGAGUUUGGAAUUAUGGUUGUAAAGGAUUUCCAAAUUGGGAAUUAGUUGUGAUUAUGAUUUCUAGUUUAGAUUAGUCUAAGUUUGGUUAUUGAUUAUUGUUAUUGUUGUGAGGUAUAUUAUUGUGGAGUUCAAGUUAGAGUUGGCGAUCAAUUGCCCAUGAUUAUUCUUGGUGGUGAAUUACUAAGGGAUCGGUGAUGCGUAUAAGGUUUGGUAUCAAGAGCUCGAGAAUGGAAGUGAAGCAAGAUUAUGAUGUCGUCCGAGAUUAAGGAUUGAGUUUAUAUUUAGAUAGUUGAUUUGAGAAUAAUUAUUAUAUUUCGUUGUAUAUAAUAUUUGAGAAUUCAGUCGAGAUAUUUGUGUAAUUAAGGAUAUUUUUCCGCUACGGAGUAAUUUAAUUAAGAGUUAAUUGUUGUUUAUGGUUGUCGAGUGUGUUUCAUUAGCAGCUCGGAAGAGCGGGCUGUUACAGUAUGCUAUAAUGAGAUCCAAAGAUAGGAAAAUGUAGAUCCAAAAAAGAAUCAUUGUGAAAAUGUAUAUUUUUUCUAUUAUGUUGCUUA